GACGGAAGGUGCAAGCGUUGCUCGGAAUUACUGGGCGUAAAGCGCACGUAGGCGGAUUGUUAAGUCGGGGGUGAAAUCCUGGAGCUCAACUCCAGAACUGCCUUCGAUACUGGCGAUCUCGAGUUCGGGAGAGGUGAGUGGAACUGCGAGUGUAGAGGUGAAAUUCGUAGAUAUUCGCAAGAACACCAGUGGCGAAGGCGGCUCACUGGCCCGAUACUGACGCUGAGGUGCGAAAGCGUGGGGAGCAAACAGG
rnacentral:rRNA from 1 species